CAGAGGUCUGUGAUGGCCAGAGAGCACAGGGCUGCAGGAGGGACAGACUGUCCUUCAGCCUGAGGGGGGCUGAAAGACCUUUCCAAUGCUGUGUUCAGGGCUUGAAGUGACAGCUCGCCUGCUGACGGGAAGGUUUGGUUCUGCUGAUGUCAGAGGGGAGCAGGCACAGCAGCACACACUGUUUAUGCUUGUGUGAUGUUUAACUGACAGAAUCAAUCUUCGCUGCUCAGCACUUCCACGAUUGAAAUAAAAGGAAGAAGAACCCCAGUCCUUCACAGAUUUACAAAGCUAUAAGCAAUGAACAAGUGAUGCCCCAUUUUCCAAAGCCCCUCGUGCCGGCUCCAAGUCAGAAACCAGCCGCUGAUAACUCAUACAGCACGGAUGUGACAAACAGGAGGGAAGCAGCCAUCUAUCACAGCAGCUCCCGAAGCCUUCCAAUAAAACAAAGUGCCAA